rnacentral:rRNA from 1 species
GGAUCAGAGGCUCGGGUCACCUCCACCCGUGUUAUUUUACCUUGUUGCUUCGGCGGGCCCGCCUUAACUGGCCGCCGGGGGGCUUACGCCCCCGGGCCCGCGCCCGCCGAAGACACCCUCGAACUCUGUCUGAAGAUUGUAGUCUGAGUGAAAAUAUAAAUUAUUUAAAACUUUCAACAACGGAUCUCUUGGUUCCGGCAUCGAUGAAGAACGCAGCGAAAUGCGAUACGUAAUGUGAAUUGCAAAUUCAGUGAAUCAUCGAGUCUUUGAACGCACAUUGCGCCCCCUGGUAUUCCGGGGGGCAUGCCUGUCCGAGCGUCAUUUCUGCCCUCAAGCACGGCUUGUGUGUUGGGCCCCGUCCUCCGAUCCCGGGGGACGGGCCCGAAAGGCAGCGGCGGCACCGCGUCCGGUCCUCGAGCGUAUGGGGCUUUGUCACCCGCUCUGUAGGCCCGGCCGGCGCUUGCCGAUCAACCCAAAUUUUUAUCCAGGUUGACCUCGGAUCAGGUAGGGAUACCCGCUGAACUUAAGCAUAUCAAUAAGCGGAGGAAUCUCCCUGACUUUCUCUAUCAAUUCCCAUGGUUAUCCCCCUCCAAAUACAUUCCCUGGGGGGUAUCCUCAUUGAUUUAAUUAUAGUCUUAUAUACUCCCAACCUUUUUUAUAUUAACAUAUCUGGUUUAUUGUGUGAUAUACAUGAUACUUUAUGCCUUUUCGCUCCCUUCCCUUAUGAAUUUAUUCCCGGCUAGUGUCCAAAACUCGUUUUUAUUUCUCGUUUUCCUUUUAUAUUUAACUCUUUUUGUGAUUAUUUAUUAAUUUCUAAUCUGUCUUUAAUAUUAUUUUGCCUAAGGUCCAUA